ACAAUCCUAAAGACCUUUGGGGAGGCAAGCGGACUGAUCACAAACCUGAGCAAGACCGAGGUCUUCCCGAUAAGAUGUGCCGGCAUUGACCUCCAGGAUGUGCUAUCGGUUUUCCCUGCCAAGAUUGCCACCUUCCCGGGACGCUAUUUGGGGCUCCCCCUACAUUUUCGUCGUCUUAAAGGUGUUGAUCUGCAACCCUUCAUCGAUAGGUUUGCAGGCAGACUACCAGGAUGGAAAGGAAAGCUUCUCAACAAGCCUGGAAGGGUGGCACUC
rnacentral:rRNA from 1 species